UCAAUAAGCAGAGGAAAAGAAACUAACAAGGAUUCCCCCAGUAACGGCGAGCGAAGUGGGAAAAGCUCGAGCCUGAAAUCUCUGGCAGUUGAUGCCAGCGAAUUGUGGCCGGGAGAGGCAGCUGGACCCUGGCUAGCGCUGUCGAAGUUGACCUGGAAAGGCACGUCAGAGAGGGUGACAGCCCCGUGUGCGACACCGCCGGGCAGGGCCACCACUGUCUUCAGAGAGUCGGGUUGUUUGGGAAUGCAGCCCAAAGUGGGUGGUAAACUCCAUCUAAAGCUAAAUAUGGGCACGAGACCGAUAGCGAACAAGUACCGUGAGGGAAAGGUGAAAAGUACUUUGAAAAGAGAGUCAAAAAGACCGCGAAACCGUUAGGAGGGAAGCGAAUGCAGCCAAAGUGGUUCUCAUUCAGGCUCAGGAGUUGUUGGCGUGCAGUGCUGGGAUGUCAGACGCCGUAGGGUGCUGCAACUCGGAUACAGCUGUCGACUGCUUUGCAUUCCUGAUGAGAACCGGCCAACGGCAGUUACCCCUGGCUCAAGAGGGUUGGUGGGAAGGUAGCUUCUUGGUUUACCGAGAAGAACUUAUAGCCACCAGCCUGGCAGUCUGGGAGUGACUGAGGAGUGCUGUGACUUUUCACACCCGCAGUACAGGCUCCCUAGGGGCCGGGUCCCUUCUGUCUGUGUGGGCAACGCCACAGGGACUGCGUGCAGUGUCUGCGGACGGAUGUGUGCUCAGGUGGGAGGUCGGCCACGUCUUGUGCUGUAGUCGUUGGUACCUGGAUGGCUUCAUUCGACCCGUCUUGAAACACGGACCAAGGAGUGCAACAUGCAUGCGAGUCUUGGGGUGGAAAACCCAUCGGCGCAAUGAAAGUGAAGGUAGAUGUUGGUCUACUGAGGCAAGAGCCUCUCAGGAGGCACAUUGUCGACCGAUCCCAGGCUACGCUGUAGUGGGAUUUGAGUGAGAGCGUGCCUGUUGCGACCCGAAAGAUGGUGAACUAUGCCUGAAUAGGGCGAAGCCAGAGGAAACUCUGGUGGAAGCUCGUAGCGAUUCUGACGUGCAAAUCGAUCGUCAAAUUUGGGUAUAGGGGCGAAAGACUAAUCGAACCAUCUAGUAGCUGGUUCCCUCCGAAGUUUCCCUCAGGAUAGCUGGAGCCCGGUGCAGUUUUAUCAGGUAAAGCGAAUGAUUAGAGGUCUUGGGGUUGAAACAACCUCAACCUAUUCUCAAACUUUAAAUGGGUAAGAAGCUCGGCUUGCUUAACUGAAGUCGGGCACUGAAUGCCGGGGCUCCUAGUGGGCCAUUUUUGGUAAGCAGAACUGGCGAUGCGGGAUGCACCGAACGCUGGGUUAAGGUGCCCGAGUCGACGCUCAUCAGAUACCAUGAAAGGUGUUGGUUGAUCUAGACAGCAGGACGGUGGCCAUGGAAGUCGGAAUCCGCUAAGGAGUGUGUAACAACUCACCUGCCGAAUCAACUAGCCCUGAAAAUGGAUGGCGCUGAAGCGUCGCACCCAUACCCAGCCGUCGGGCCGAGGGGCAUGGCCCGACGAGUAGGAGGGCGCAGUGGUGGCUGUGCAGCCUCGGGCGUGAGCCUGGGUGAAGCUGCCACUGGUGCAGAUCUUGGUGGUAGUAGCAAAUAUUCAAACGAGAGCUUUGAAGACUGAAGUGGGGAAGGGUUCCAUGUGAACAGCAGUUGGACAUGGGUUAGUCGAUCCUAAGAGAAGGGAGAGGUCCUUGUGGAGGGCGCAAUCGCUCCGGCGACCGCGCCGUCCCUCGAAAGGGAAUCGGGUUAACAUUCCCGAACCGGGAUGUGGAUAGGCCCCAGGCCAUUAGCGGCAACGCAAGCGAACUCGGAGACGUCGGCGAGAGCCCCGGGAAGAGUUCUCUUUUCUUCUUAACGGACUGGCACCCUGGAAUCAGAUUGGCUGGAGAUAGGGUUUAAUGUCCGGUAAAGCGCCACACUUGUGGUGGCGUCCGGUGCGCUCUCGACGGCCCUUGAAANUCCGAGGGAGUGUUUGAUUCUCACGCCCG
rnacentral:rRNA from 1 species